rnacentral:tRNA from 1 species
AGAUACUUAGGUUAAAUUAAACCAGAGGCCUUCAAAGCCCCAAAAAAGAGACCACUCUUAGUUUCUG